CACACACACACACACACACACACACACACACACACACACACACACACACACACACACACACACACACACACACACACACACACACCACUCUCACACACACCACACAACACACACCACACAACACACACCACACACACACACACACACACACACACACACACACACACACACACACACACACACACACACACACACACACACACACACACACACACACACUUGAAGUCUCGAGAAACACAUAUCAUCUGAAAAUAAUGACUGGCCAUUUGCCUCUCUCCCGACACCACGCACACACACAUGAAAAACCAACAAAUGCUCGACCGCAAACGACACAACUCUCACUUCAACGUGGAUGUCCAAGUGCACAUUCCUGUACUGCACUGAAGGCACUGGGCUCGAUGGCAAAGUUGAACGCUAUUGAGUUCGACGGUGGGUUUUGUUGAGUGACGUCACCCCCCCUCCAACCCCAGUCUUUCGGUUUCUCUGCGAGAGACGGGCCAGUGUGUGUGUAGGGGUCUCGGAGUGAGAGCGGUAGAGAGGGAGUGAGUGAGUGAGUGAGAGAGAGAGAGGGAGGGAGAGGGAGAUGCGUCCCCACCACCACAGCGCAGCACGCAAACACCAGUGUACAGACUGAGUCUCCUCUCCGCGUUGUAUUGUGAAGUCUCAGCUAGAGGGGCGACCGACGAGCGGGAGAUAUACACACAUCACCACCACCACCACCGGCCACCACAUGUUUUCGCCGUCAGACACCCUCGUCCUCUCAUACAGUGUCGACUACCAUCCAGAAGAGACUAUUAUUUUCUAGACAGAGAGAGAGAACUCAAGGAAAGAGUCGCCGGAGAGAGCGCAGCGAGACGGGAGCGCAGUGGACGGAUAUAUGGCCACGACUCGCCUGUCAUACUGGAUGUAAAAGUCGCGAUUAUUUCUGCGAGAAUCGAGUUCAAAACCUGAUCGCGAAGAUGCUGACACUAAGGCUGUGAAUACCCUGCAUCUGAGCGAUCGGACCAGACCUGAAUCCCGUGGCUCUGUGAGCCAGCGCGCCACGAGGCUGCCAGUAGCAUGCAGGUGCCCAGCUGUCCCGCCAUGCGCAGAGCCGUAACCGGGCCGACGCCUGUGCCCAAGGUUCUGCUGCUGUCGCUGCUCCUGGCUCUGCUGAUGCACCUCACCAACGCUGAAUGUAAGCGGACACACACCCCACCCCCACAUACACACACCUCCAUUCUCUCUCACACACUCUGAACAGACUCCCUUUAUGGGCGGGAUGCCCGAGGCCUUGUCGUUGUGUGUCAUUGUGUGCUUGUGCCUGCUUGUGCGUGUUUGCGUGUGGGUCCGACACAAAGGCCGGACCGUUGAUCUCGGGUCUGUUUUGUCUGGUGUGUGUUUUCCCGUUGCCCUCUCUCCUUUCUUCGCCCCAAAGUGUCGCAAUAGCCGGGUAAACACAGGUGGGACUCGUAACAUUAAUUACGGGCGCGCUCCAUUCACGUUAUCAGUGCUGCAGUGUGGACCAAGGAACCCAGCGCAGCGAUGAAUACACCGGGACAAUGGCUGGUGAAUCCCCCCCCCCCACAUUGACCAGACCCUAUGGUACCCGGCAUGUGUUGACCCAGCUGUGUGAGGCAAAAAACAAACGCACCAUUAAUUGUGUGUUAUAUUAAUGAUGACACCAUUACCUAAAUAUACACAGAAUGAGAUUAGUUACUAAUACUGAUAUGACGUUGGGGGAGAUACAUGGCUUGCGCACACGGAUGCCACACACACACACACACACACACACACACACACACACACACACACACACACACACACACACACAUACACACACACACACACACACACACCUUUAGUCCUAAUCAAAAGCCCCCUAGUGGCCGUGUGGGGUCCCGGGGGGGGGAUUCCAUAUUCCCCAGCCGCCCAUGUCUGUAUCGUCAAAUCCCUCGGAUAAAAAGAAAGAAAGAAAACCUUUAAGGGAUUGAGUUACUUGACAUCAGACACCUGUCCGCUGGUGUGUGACAACAGUUUUCAAACCCCAUUGAGCCCCCCUUCUGUCUCUCUCUCUCUCUCUCUCUCUCACUCACUCGCUCUCCGCUCCGCAUCACACCCCGACACCCUGCUCCCCACUCCUCCUCCAUCACCACCACCUCAACCUAAUUCCCCCCCGCCAAAGUCCAUGAAUCAUUAGCUUCUCCAGAGUGUCACCCUGUGAUGAAUAAAAGUUUUACUUCUCCCCCUUUCACACCAGCUGAAACAGAACCCCCAGCCCCCCUCCUUUAUUUAACCCCUGAAAUCCCCCUUAUAUAGUUAUUUGAAUGGGAGCCGUCUUUCACCCAAGGUCGUAUAGAAAGGGAGGGAGGGUUAGAGAGGGGGGGGGGGGGGGGGGGGGGGGGAAGAGAGGGAGGGAGGUUGGGAGAGAGAGUGAGAGGGAGGUUGAAAGAGCGAGGGAGGGAGGAUGAGAGGGAGAGAGAGAGAGGGAGGAAGGGUGAGAGGGGAACAGAGAGAGAGAGGAAUCGAGCAAGGGAACGGGAAAGAAGGAGGGAGGGAGAGAGAGAACGGAGCAAGAGGGAGGGAGGGAGAGAGAGACGCUUCUUUGCACAUUGAUGGCCAUUUUCUUUACAGAGUUGCAGCAUGAGAAAUGUUCCCGGCAAUCUGUUCGAACAUGUGUUCUUUCUCUUUCUUCCUCUCCCCUUCCACCACUCAGUCACAUGUGUCUCACAGCGGGGGGGGGACGAGGCGAACGGGGAAACGUGGACGCUGUUCAGACCCCCCCGCUUUAUGUGCGAUUCUGCGAUUUAUAGACACAAUUUAAUUACGAGACGUUCCCAAAACGACUCUAAUGGACGAUAAAUGCUCCAAUUGUGAUGGCUAUUUAGUUGUCGUUUCACACACACACACACACACACACACACACACACACACACACACACACACACACACACACACACACACACACACACACACACACACACACACACACACACACACACACACACACACACACACACACACAGCGGGGGGAGCGAGGGAGUAAUACCCAGACUACCACACAGUCUUGUGAAUUGUUGCAGUUUUGCUUGAUCUAAAACGUCUCAAACAACGACAACAACAACAAACUGUUGCAGAACAACUUUUUUUCUGUAUCGAACCAGUAUUGACUGACGAGGCCGUUUAUUUGGGGUUACUUCUUGUCUCCGGCCUGGCAUGCCGUGGCAGAACUCAAGAGGGAUUUUAACCCAGAAGUUACACAAGAGUAGCACGCAUCCAUCACUGUGUAUCACUCAACCCCUCAACCCCCCUCCUGCUACACACACACACACACACACACACACACACACACACACACACACACACACACACACACACACACACACACACACACACACACACAGAGACACACACACACACACACACACACACACACACACACACACACAGAGACACACACACACACACACACACACACACACACACACACACA